AGCAUACAAGAAUUCAAAGUAGUAAUAUAAAGCUCAAUUGAAUAAGAAAGCUAAAGGAUGUCAAUUUCCAAAGAAAUGAAACCAGAAUAUGCGAAAUCGACCAAAGCUCGAUUUCUAGCAGAAUUCAAGAGGCACAUUUAACAAAUGAUUCAAACUAUCAAUCUUGCUCCAAUUUACUCAGAAAUAUAUCAUUGGAAAGAUAUUUCAAUCUAUUUUCAGAUAAAAUAAGUCUCGUAUGAAUCGAAG
rnacentral:lncRNA from 1 species